GACGGAUCACUGGACCACGUGGCUGAAGGUCAAGUCUUAGUUGUCAAUUGUUCUGUUGAAAUAGAUUCAGAUAUAUUGUAUAGUUUAUACUGGACUAAACCUAACCAGGAUCGACGGAUGACAACGAGGUUUUUAAAAAAACCUUUGGGCGUAACUUAUUAUCAAGCUUCGAGUGAAUUGAUGGUUAGUGAUAUCUCUAAAAGUGAUCAGGGUGAAUAUCGAUGUUGUAUUAAUUCUGGAUACAUCAAAAAAUGUGAUACAAAAAAUAUAACUGUAAAUGAUUCUCAACACUAAUGUUUCAACAUAAAAUAUAAAGAUAAGGAUGAAAAUUUUUCUAAGGAAUGUCAUAAAACAUUAGUAUUAAUGACGAAAGUUGAUGAAAUUUAGAUGCAAUGAG